AGUGAACGCUGGCGGUAGGCCUAACACAUGCAAGUCGAACGGCAGCACAGUAAGAGCUUGCUCUUACGGGUGGCGAGUGGCGGACGGGUGAGGAAUACAUCGGAAUCUACUUUUUCGUGGGGGAUAACGUAGGGAAACUUACGCUAAUACCGCAUACGACCUACGGGUGAAAGCAGGGGAUCUUCGGACCUUGCGCGAUUGAAUGAGCCGAUGUCGGAUUGGCUAGUUGGCGGGGUAAAGGCCCACCAAGGCGACGAUCCGUAGCUGGACUGAGAGGAUGGUCAGCCACACUGGAACUUAGACACGGUCCAGACUCCUACGGGAGGCAGCAGUGGGGAAUAUUGGACAAUGGGCGCAAGCCUGAUCCAGCCAUACCGCGUGGGUGAAGAAGGCCUUCGGGUUGUAAAGCCCUUUUGUUGGGAAAGAAAAGCAGCAGGUUAAUACCCCGCUGUUCUGACGGUACCCAAAGAAGAAGCACCGGCUAACUUCGUG
rnacentral:rRNA from 1 species